rnacentral:rRNA from 1 species
GAUCAUGGCUCAUGAUGAACGCUAGCUACAGGCUUAACACAUGCAAGUCGAGGGGCAGCAUGGUCUUAGCUUGCUAAGGCCGAUGGCGACCGGCGCACGGGUGAGUAACACGUAUCCAACCUGCCGUCUACUCUUGGACAGCCUUCUGAAAGGAAGAUUAAUACAAGAUGGCAUCAUGAGUUGACAUGUUCACAUCAUUAAAGGUAUUCCGGUAGACGA